rnacentral:tRNA from 1 species
GGGGGGUUAGCCCAGCCGGUUAGAGCGCUUGCUCGACACGCAAGAGGUCAUCGGUUCGAGUCCGAUAUCCCCCACCA